UACGUAGGGACCAAGCGUUGUCCGGAAUCAUUGGGCGUAAAGAGCGUGUAGGCGGCUUGUUAAGUCUUGCGUGAAAUCUCGGGGCUCAACCCCGAGCGGUCGUGACAAACUGGCAGGCUAGAGUGCGGGAGAGGAGAGUGGAAUUCCUGGUGUAGCGGUGAAAUGCGCAGAUAUCAGGAAGAACACCCGUGGCGAAGGCGGCUCUCUGGAACGCAACUGACGCUGAGACGCGAAAGCGUGGGGAGCAAACAGG
rnacentral:rRNA from 1 species